rnacentral:rRNA from 1 species
GCUUAACGCGAAGAACCUUACCAGGUCUUGACAUCCCAUUGACCACUAUGGAGACAUAGUUUUCCCUUCGGGGACAACGGUGACAGGUGGUGCAUGGUUGUCGUCAGCUCGUGUCGUGAGAUGUUGGGUUAAGUCCCGCAACGAGCGCAACCCUUGAUCUUAGUUGCCAGCAUUUAGUUGGGCACUCUAAGGUGACUGCCGGUGACAAACCGGAGGAAGGUGGGGAUGACGUCAAAUCAUCAUGCCCCUUAUGACCUGGGCUACACACGUGCUACAAUGGACGGUACAAAGAGUCGCAAGACCGCGAGGUGGAGCUAAUCUCAUAAAACCGUUCUCAGUUCGGAUUGUAGGCUGCAACUCGCCUACAUGAAGCUGGAAUCGCUAGUAAUCGCGGAUCAGCAUGCCGCGGUGAAUACGUUCCCGGGUCUUGUACACACCG